AGACAGAUUUACAGAGAGGAGACAGCUCUUCCAUCUGCUGGUUCAUUGCCCCAAAUGGUCACAAUGGCCAGAGCUGAACUGAUCUGAAGCCAGGAACUUCUUCCAGUCAGAAGCACCCAGCCUCGUCUGCUCCUGAGACCCACCGGGGCCUCCCAGCUCUCCUUGGCCCCACAAAGCCUCCCCUUCAACCAGUCUCGGCCACAAGGACAUCUGUGAAACAAUUUAUUGUACAAAACAAGAUCUUCCUGAACACUGGGCAGAUGGGGUCACACGAAGCACGCAUUCUUUCAUGGCAGUCAGGACCGAAGCCUGGCUGCUCCCAUGGCCAUAGGGUCUCUCGGCGUCUCCAGACCCCACCCAACCAGCCU